AGUGAACGCUGGCGGUAGGCCUAACACAUGCAAGUCGAACGGCAGCACAGUAAGAGCUUGCUCCUACGGGUGGCGAGUGGCGGACGGGUGAGGAAUACAUCGGAAUCUACUUUUUCGUGGGGGAUAACGUAGGGAAACUUACGCUAAUACCGCAUACGACCUACGGGUGAAAGCAGGGGAUCUUCGGACCUUGCGCGAUUGAAUGAGCCGAUGUCGGAUUAGCUAGUUGGCGGGGUAAAGGCCCACCAAGGCGACGAUCCGUAGCUGGUCUGAGGGGAUGAUCAGCCACACUGGAACUGAGACACGGUCCAGACUCCUACGGGAGGCAGCAGUGGGGAAUAUUGGACAAUGGGCGCAAGCCUGAUCCAGCCAUACCGCGUGGGUGAAGAAGGCCUUCGGGUUGUAAAGCCCUUUUGUUGGGAAAGAAAAGCAGCAGGUUAAUACCCCGCUGUUCUGACGGUACCCAAAGAAUAAGCACCGGCGAACUUCGU
rnacentral:rRNA from 1 species